CUUGCUAGAUGCUGACGAGCGGCGGACGGGUGAGUAAUGCAUAGGAAUCUGCCCGGUAGUGGGGGAUAACCUGGGGAAACCCAGGCUAAUACCGCAUACGUCCUACGGGAGAAAGGGGGCUUCGGCUCCCGCUACGGGAUGAGCCUAUGUCGGAUUAGCUAGUUGGUAGGGUAAUGGCCUACCAAGGCAACGAUCCGUAGCUGGUCUGAGAGGAUGAUCAGCCACAUCGGGACUGAGACACGGCCCGAACUCCUACGGGAGGCAGCAGUGGGGAAUAUUGGACAAUGGGGGCAACCCUGAUCCAGCCAUGCCGCGUGUGUGAAGAAGGCCCUCGGGUUGUAAAGCACUUUCAGCGAGGAAGAACGCCUAGUGGUUAAUACCCAUUAGGAAAGACAUCACUCGCAGAAGAAGCACCGGCUAACUCCGUGCCAGCAGCCGCGGUAAUACGGAGGGUGCAAGCGUUAAUCGGAAUUACUGGGCGUAAAGCGCGCGUAGGUGGCUUGAUAAGCCGGUUGUGAAAGCCCCGGGCUCAACCUGGGAACGGCAUCCGGAACUGUCAGGCUAGAGUGCAGGAGAGGAAGGUAGAAUUCCCGGUGUAGCGGUGAAAUGCGUAGAGAUCGGGAGGAAUACCAGUGGCG
rnacentral:rRNA from 1 species